UACGGGGGGGGCAAGCGUUGUUCGGAAUUACUGGGCGUAAAGGGCUCGUAGGUGGCCAACUAAGUCAGACGUGAAAUCCCUCGGCUUAACCGGGGAACUGCGUCUGAUACUGGAUGGCUUGAGUUUGGGAGAGGGAUGCGGAAUUCCAGGUGUAGCGGUGAAAUGCUUAGAUAUGACAUAGAACACCAAUUGCGAAGGCAGCUGGCUACACAAAUAUUGACACUGAGGCACGAAAGCGUGGGGAUCAAACAGG
rnacentral:rRNA from 1 species